AUGUUGGAUGACUUGAUUGAGCUCGCAUCACAAAAAGACUACCGGAACAUGGAAGAGACACUUGUUCUUGCCUUAAAGCUCCUUACUAAAUUGUUUCACCAGUUGCUUCAUGAGCUAUCCCAAUUGACCACAUUCUGUAAACUGUGGUUGGGCGUCCUCAACAGGAUGGAAAAAUGUAUGAAGGUGAAAGUUAGAGGUAAAAAAAGUGAAAAGCUUCAGGAACUGGUCCCUGAACUCCUGAAGAACACCUUGUCUGUAAUGAAGUCUAAGGGGGUACUUGUUAAGAGGAGCGCCCUUGGUGGAGAUAGCUUAUGGGAAUUGACAUGGUUGCAUGUAAAUAACAUUGUUCCUUCUCUCCAAUCUGAGGUUUUCCCUGAUAUUGAUCCAGAAAAUUUACAGCCUGAUCCUGUGUCUGUAGAAACCGAUCCAAACGAAUAGCUUGUCAAGGCUUUGCGUUAUCUGGAUAGAAGUUAUGUUGGUGGCAAUAUUUGUACAAUGGAAGGGGAGGAUUUUCUGUGGCUUUUCACUGGAAGAGAAUAAUACACACAGAUGAAUGUUUGGUCAUUUUCGGCCAGGAAUUUGAUGAAGAUCUUUCUCAGAUAAUUGUGUUGGAUGCGCAUAUUGUACAGAACAUAAAGUUCUAACCCAGUUUUUACGUUUUGUAUUGUCAGCGUGUUGCUGCACGAGUUCCACUAAUGUGCCUUAAAUGUGUAAUCUUGUACAAGUGACAAUUCAACAAGUUCACUUUUUCGGGCACUAGCCCAUUCUGUCUGUUAAUUUUAUCAUAGGGAGUGUUAUCGUUCAACUUUUCAGUGCUCAGCUUGUUAAAGAACCUUGGUAUUGAAUGUGGUCUUGUAUCUGUAUCCCUCUGUGAGGUGAAUAUUGGAUUUUAUUUAUU
rnacentral:lncRNA from 1 species